UGAAAGGGUGUGUACACUGGUGUGUUUCUGAUUGUUUUUUUCACUUAAUUUUUUUACGUUAUAAUUAACAUCGCGGGCGGAAAAGGUUCUGAGACGAUUUAUCUUGGUUUCAUUUUUUUACAUCACAAAAAAAUCCAUUUUAACAGGGGUGUGUAGGCCUUUUAACAUCCACUGUAUAUCUAUAACAGAACAAGAGAGUCUUUCACCUGAAAGAGUCGAACCAAAGUGCUGAUUCAAAGUGCCGAGGCUCAGAGAUCCGUGACGAGACGGUUGGCUCUAAACUGAAAUGCAGUAAUCUAAAAAUACAUGUCCUCUUCAGCUGUUCUCCUCGCUGCCUGCAGCUGAAAACCUGCUCACGCGCUCAAACAUCCCUCCGACCGAGCAGCUUUAUUCAACACUUCAGCAGAAUCAGGAAAUGCUGUACGUUACGUUACUCCAAACAGUUCAGUACCGCAGCGUAAAUACUCACGCAGAACUUUUAUAAUCUUUCAAUUCUCACCUCGAGAACCAGACGACGUCUCAAACUUCUGCAGACAUGUUCUUCUUCCUCUCAUAUUUCUGUUAUACAGAGCACAUCAACCACAGAGUCACACACACACACACACACACACACACACACACACACUCCUACACACAGGAAGCACACUUUUGUUCAGCUGAGCUGACUGUCACUUUCAAUGAAAGACAUCACUCUCUGUAUUUCUGCAGUUUGCUUUAUUUAUUUAUUUGUUUGUUUGUUUGUUUGUUUAUAUUCUACUCUCAUUUCUAUUAGAGACCAGAUCACUGAUAAUUGUAGGGUUAGCAAAACACUUCUGAAUUUUACAGUUUAAAAGGAAAUUUUCCUCAAAAGUUAAAAGCAUCAGGUUUUCUCAGCAUCCUGUGUGUGUGUGUGUGUGUGUGUGUGUGUGUGUGUGUGUGCUAAAUCUUACAGUAAUGCAGCUCAGCCACUGCAGCUUCUUCCUCUUCUUUUAUACGGUGCCAAUACUUUUUUGUCUUAACAGAGCUGCUAGUCUUACUUGUGGUAAUAUAUGGCGUGGAUGUGAUACGAGGCGUGGAUGUGAUGUAUGGCGUGGAUUGAUAUGAGGCGUGGAUGUAAUGUAUGGCGUGGAUGUGAUACGAGGCGUGGAUGUGAUGUAUGGCGUGG
ensembl:lncRNA